AUUGAACGCUGGCGGCAUGCCUUACACAUGCAAGUCGAACGGUAACAGGUCUUCGGAUGCUGACGAGUGGCGAACGGGUGAGUAAUACAUCGGAACGUGCCCGAUCGUGGGGGGUAACGGAGAGAAAGCUUUGCUAAUACCGCAUACGAUCUACGGAUGAAAGCAGGGGACCGCAAGGCCUUGCGAGGACGGAUCGGCCGAUGGCAGAUUAGGUAGUAGGUGGGAUAAAAGCUUACCAAGCCGACGAUCUGUAGCUGAUCUGAGAGGACGACGAGCCCAGAUGGGACUGAGGCACAGCCCAGACGCCUUCGGGAUGCAUCAGUGGGGAAUUUUGGACAUUGGGCGAAAGCCUGAUCCAUCCAUGCCGCGUGCAGGAUGAAGGCCUUCGGGUUUGAAACUUCUUUUGUACGGAACGAAAAGCCGCUUUCUAAUAAAUAGAGUUGAUGACGGUACCGUAAGAAUAAGCACCGGCUAACUACGUGCCAGCCGCCACGGUAAGAC
rnacentral:rRNA from 1 species